rnacentral:rRNA from 1 species
GGCUCGUGUGCAAGAGGGAUUCGCCAGCAGCUCCGCGCGCGCGCUGCACCGCGUCUCAUCUCAAGUCGGGCAGGUCCCCAACCCCCCACCGCACAAAACCUAGCCUCCCAAGCCCGCAGCGCCGCCCUCCUCACUCCUCCUCCAUCUUUCCUCGCCGGCCGCCGCCGCCGCCAUUCCGCUUCGCUCCUCUCUGUCCGAUGGCCACGCCAGUGGGAGGAAGCCACCGCACAAGAGGACAGGAGACGCCCGUUGGCGAGCUUCUGGGCAGGAAGCCGAUGGGGAGCACGCCAUCAACGAGCCCCCGGGGAGGAGCUAUCGGCCGGUCCUAGGUCGUCCACCAAAGGCCGCCGGUUGCGCUGUCGUGAGAGGAGCAGCAGGGGAGGAGAUGAAGAUAUACCGGCGGCGCCGGACUCCCUCUUCCCUAGCUGCAUCUUCCCCGACAAUUUAUUCCAGUGCCCGAUUCAUUGUCCGUCUCAACCAAACCUCACAUGGUGGUGCGAAUUUAUGCUAGACAUUUUGUUUCUUCAUUUGGUUUGCUAUAGGAAUAAAUGUUCCAGGGUUGGAGAAGAGGGGGUUGAGCAGCAGCUGAGCUUA